UACAGAGGUCUCAAGCGUUGUUCGGAUUCAUUGGGCGUAAAGGGUGCGUAGGUGGCGCCGUAAGUCAGGUGUGAAAUUUCGGAGCUUAACUCCGAAACUGCAUUCGAUACUGCGGUGCUUGAGGACUGGAGAGGAGACUGGAAUUCAUGGUGUAGCAGUGAAAUGCGUAGAGAUCAUGAGGAAGACCAGUGGCGAAGGCGGCGCUCUGGACCGAGACUGACGCUGAGGCGCGAAAGCGUGGGGAGCAAACAGG
rnacentral:rRNA from 1 species